rnacentral:rRNA from 1 species
AUUGAACGCUGGCGGCAGGCCUAACACAUGCAAGUCGAACGAGUGGCGGACGGGUGAGUAAUGUCUGGGCAACUGCCUGAUGGAGGGGGCUAACUAAUGGAAACGGUAGCUAAUACCGCAUACUAUCAGAUGUGCCCAGAUGGGAUUAGCUUGUUGGUGGGGUAACGGCUAACAAGGGCGACGAUCCCUAGCUGGUCUGAGAGGAUGACCAGCCACACUGGAACUGAGACACGGUCCAGACUCCUACGGGAGGAAGCAGUGGGGAAUAUUGCACAAUGGGGGCAAGCCGGAUGCAGCCAUCCCGCGUGUAUGAAGAAGGCCUUCGGGUUGUAAAGUACUUUCAGCGGGAAGGCGGUACCCGAAGAAGAAGCACCGGCUAACUACGUGCCAGCAGCCGCGGUAAUUC